ACCAACUCAGCUGGCUACUUCACCAGGGAAUGGCGAACAAAAAAAACGUCUGGAGAAAUCAACAAACACUGAGUGCUAAAUAAUGUUGUCGGGGAUGAAAGAGAAAUGUGCCAACUGCUUUGGGGAGAACCAAAUAAUGCUCCACAUUUAGGGCUUACUGCUUUCGAACCACUGUUGAUAUUCCUUUAAAAUGAAAUCGAU
rnacentral:lncRNA from 1 species